rnacentral:tRNA from 1 species
UAAGACGUAAACUAGUUCAACAUGUUUUAUUAUGUGUAUAAGUUGGCGGGUUCAUAGUCCGCAAAAGCCUUAAUGGCCGUCUUAA